rnacentral:rRNA from 1 species
UACGUAGGAUGCAAGCGUUGUCCGGAUUUACUGGGCGUAAAGCGCGCGCAGGCGGCACUCUAAGUACGUCGUGAAAUAUCCCGGCUCAACCGGGAGGGUGCGAUGUAGACUAGGGAGCUAGAGGUCGGUAGAGGGGGGUGGAAUUGCUGGUGUAGCGGUGAAAUGCGUAGAGAUGCGGAGGAACACCGAUGGCGAAGGCAGCCCCCUGGGCUAACACUGACGCUCAGGCACGAAAGCGUGGGGAGCAAACAGG